rnacentral:rRNA from 1 species
AGCGUACACGGUGGAUGCCCUGGCAGUCAGAGGCGAUGAAGGACGUGCUAAUCUGCGAUAAGCGCCGGUAAGGUGAUAUGAACCGUUAUAACCGGCGAUUUCCGAAUGGGGAAACCCAGUGUGACUCGUCACACUAUCAUUAACUGAAUCCAUAGGUUAAUGAGGCGAACCGGGGGAACUGAAACAUCUAAGUACCCCGAGGAAAAGAAAUCAACCGAGAUUCCCCCAGUAGCGGCGAGCGAACGGGGAGGAGCCCAGAGCCUGAAUCAGCAUGUGUGUUAGUGGAAGCGUCUGGAAAGGCGCGCGAUACAGGGUGACAGCCCCGUACACAAAAGCGCAUGUGCUGUGAGCUCGAUGAGUAGGGCGGGACACGUGGUAUCCUGUCUGAAUAUGGGGGGACCAUCCUCCAAGGCUAAAUACUCCUGACUGACCGAUAGUGAACCAGUACCGUGAGGGAAAGGCGAAAAGAACCCCGGCGAGGGGAGUGAAAAAGAACCUGAAACCGUGUACGUACAAGCAGUGGGAGCNNGUGACUGCGUACCUUUUGUAUAAUGGGUCAGCGACUUAUAUUCUGUAGCAAGGUUAACCGAAUAGGGGAGCCGGAGGGAAACCGAGUCUUAAUUGGGCGUUAAGUUGCAGGGUAUAGACCCGAAACCCGGUGAUCUAGCCAUGGGCAGGUUGAAGGUUGGGUAACACUAACUGGAGGACCGAACCGACUAAUGUUGAAAAAUUAGCGGAUGACCUGUGGCUGGGGGUGAAAGGCCAAUCAAACCGGGAGAUAGCUGGUUCUCCCCGAAAGCUAUUUAGGUAGCGCCUCGUGAAUUCAUCUCCGGGGGUAGAGCACUGUUUCGGCUAGGGGGCCAUCCCGGCUUACCAACCCGAUGCAAACUGCGAAUACCGGAGAAUGUUAUCACGGGAGACACACGGCGGGUGCUAACGUCCGUCGUGAAGAGGGAAACAACCCAGACCGCCAGCUAAGGUCCCAAAGUCAUGGUUAAGUGGGAAACGAUGUGGGAAGGCCCAGACAGCCAGGAUGUUGGCUUAGAAGCAGCCAUCAUUUAAAGAAAGCGUAAUAGCUCACUGGUCGAGUCGGCCUGCGCGGAAGAUGUAACGGGGCUAAACCAUGCACCGAAGCUGCGGCAGCGANNUGGGUAGGGGAGCGUUCUGUAAGCCUGCGAAGGUGUGUCGUGAGGGUUGCUGGAGGUAUCAGAAGUGCGAAUGCUGACAUAAGUAACGAUAAAGCGGGUGAAAAGCCCGCUCGCCGGAAGACCAAGGGUUCCUGUCCAACGUUAAUCGGGGCAGGGUGAGUCGACCCCUAAGGCGAGGCCGAAAGGCGUAGUCGAUGGGAAACGGGUUAAUAUUCCCGUACUUGGUGUUACUGCGAAGGGGGGACGGAGAAGGCUAUGUUGGCCGGGCGACGGUUGUCCCGGUUUAAGCGUGUAGGUGUGUGUUCCAGGUAAAUCCGGUUCACUUUAACACUGAGGCGUGAUGACGAGGCACUACGGUGCUGAAGCAACAAAUGCCCUGCUUCCAGGAAAAGCCUCUAAGCAUCAGGUAACAUCAAAUCGUACCCCAAACCGACACAGGUGGUCAGGUAGAGAAUACCAAGGCGCUUGAGAGAACUCGGGUGAAGGAACUAGGCAAAAUGGUGCCGUAACUUCGGGAGAAGGCACGCUGACAUGUAGGUGAAGUGAUUUACUCAUGGAGCUGAAGUCAGUCGAAGAUACCAGCUGGCUGCAACUGUUUAUUAAAAACACAGCACUGUGCAAACACGAAAGUGGACGUAUACGGUGUGACGCCUGCCCGGUGCCGGAAGGUUAAUUGAUGGGGUCAGCGCAAGCGAAGCUCCUGAUCGAAGCCCCGGUAAACGGCGGCCGUAACUAUAACGGUCCUAAGGUAGCGAAAUUCCUUGUCGGGUAAGUUCCGACCUGCACGAAUGGCGUAAUGAUGGCCAGGCUGUCUCCACCCGAGACUCAGUGAAAUUGAACUCGCUGUGAAGAUGCAGUGUACCCGCGGCAAGACGGAAAGACCCCGUGAACCUUUACUAUAGCUUGACACUGAACAUUGAGCCUUGAUGUGUAGGAUAGGUGGGAGGCUUUGAAGCGUGGACGCCAGUCUGCGUGGAGCCGACCUUGAAAUACCACCCUUUAAUGUUUGAUGUUCUAACGUGGACCCGUAAUCCGGGUUGCGGACAGUGUCUGGUGGGUAGUUUGACUGGGGCGGUCUCCUCCUAAAGAGUAACGGAGGAGCACGAAGGUUGGCUAAUCCUGGUCGGACAUCAGGAGGUUAGUGCAAUGGCAUAAGCCAGCUUGACUGCGAGCGUGACGGCGCGAGCAGGUGCGAAAGCAGGUCAUAGUGAUCCGGUGGUUCUGAAUGGAAGGGCCAUCGCUCAACGGAUAAAAGGUACUCCGGGGAUAACAGGCUGAUACCGCCCAAGAGUUCAUAUCGACGGCGGUGUUUGGCACCUCGAUGUCGGCUCAUCACAUCCUGGGGCUGAAGUAGGUCCCAAGGGUAUGGCUGUUCGCCAUUUAAAGUGGUACGCGAGCUGGGUUUAGAACGUCGUGAGACAGUUCGGUCCCUAUCUGCCGUGGGCGCUGGAGAACUGAGGGGGGCUGCUCCUAGUACGAGAGGACCGGAGUGGACGCAUCACUGGUGUUCGGGUUGUCAUGCCAAUGGCACUGCCCGGUAGCUAAAUGCGGAAGAGAUAAGUGCUGAAAGCAUCUAAGCACGAAACUUGCCCCGAGAUGAGUUCU